GUAAUUUUGGGCUAGCUAGCAUGCAUGCCACUAGUCAUAUGGAUGUAAUAGCAGCACAUUUCAGCAAUCUGUGUAAAGUUGUGAGCAGCUGAUGCAGUGUGAGCUGUGUUUCUACUGAUCACUCUCUUGUUACCAGUCACCAGCUUGCACAAGUCUCUGUGAGCUGCUGUCUGUUUAAAAAAACUGUUUAACGUUUACCAGACCUACUUUGUUUUUUAGAUCCUGUGUUUUCCUAAAGCACCUGUUCUCUUCAAUCUUUAUUCUCCUGAAGGGUGAAAAUAGGUUUUAUCUUGAAGAUAUGUUCAAGGAAUAACCCAUAAUAUGGAGAAAACCAAACCCGAGAAAAGAAAACAAUGAAAUGGGCAAAGGUAUAAUAAUCAAUUCAUCACAUUUGAGUUUGCUGCAGAGAACUGAUGUCAGUUUUUGUGCAGAUACUUCAGGUCUGACUCCAGAUCACUUAGUAAACACUGCAUAUUUCAGGAAUUACCUCAGCAUAACACAUCUUACUUUUUGUUUGAAACUGGUAAGAGUGGAAGGAUUUGAUUUAUCUUACAGAGGCCAUUAA
rnacentral:lncRNA from 1 species